AAAAGAAGCUGAGCUUGGCACUGAAACAAAGGAGACCUCAGGUGAACCAAUGGACUUAAUUUCUACUUUUCAAAAUAGUUCUGUCAAAACAAGAACAGCAACAACAACGACUAUCUCCCCACCCAAACCUAGGAUCUGUGGAGACUCUGUGAAUGUAGAAGUAGAUGGAAUAAAUACUCACUUGAUUCCAUGGCAACCUUACAUUAACUUCAAAUGUGAUCUUAAGAGACUAAGCACACGAACAAUAGAUGCUAUUGUGCUCAUUCAUCCUGAUCAGAGAAGCUCCUGCUGGAUCUCUGAGAGGGAACGUGAUUUGACAAGAUGGCAGCUGACUAAGCAUGUUAUCCAUAGUGAUGGAACCAGGAAGGCAGUCGAUAGCCAGGUAAGAGAUAGCUUUUCGUUCCUGCUGUUAAUCAUGUAAGUA
rnacentral:lncRNA from 1 species